UGACAUUAUAUAAUCUCACUUUUCUUUAGACACUUGGGCCAGCACUUUCAAACAUGGAUGUCAAAAGUUAGAUACUAAAUCCCUAAAUCCAUACUUCUUCUUCAACGCUUAGCCGAACGGUCGGCCGUAGCAAUUGUUCACCAUUAAUCCGUUCCUGUGCUUGACGGGCCAAGAGCCCAACGUCGGAAUAGACUUGAGGCACCCAUGUAAUAGGGGGCCUGCCUUUGGGCUGCCUGCACCCCUUGAUUGGUGGAAUUGUCUCUCGGAUGUUACGAGCCACUCAGAGAACGGCGUUCGCCGGAACAUCUUGUGGCAUACUCGCGACAUGUCUGAAAAGCAUAAGACGCCGUCUGCGGACAAUGGCCCCAGUAGUCUGUAGACCGGAGCGACCAUAAACAUCUGCUUUACAAAUGAAGUCGUUCCACUCUAUGCCCAAUAUACAACGUUGGCAUUUUAUGUGGAAAGCCUCCAGCUUUGCCCACUCUGAGUGGCGCAGUCCCAAUGUUUUGCAACCGUACAGCAGUACAGAGAGGAGACAGCUCGAUUAGAUCCUGAACUUGGUUGUCGUGCCGAGAUGAUGUUGAUUCCGUAUUCAUUGUAAACGACCCAUGGCAGCGGCUGCAAUGCCACACUCAGGCACCUAAAUAAAUGGCCUGACCUUUCUCAAAUGCUGAAUACCAAGAACUUCUCACUCGAAUCUGCCGAAGCCGUGGCUGUUCAGCUCCUCUGAAAAUCAAUCCACUCGUUUAGAUGCCUGAAUAUGAAUGUUAGUGCCAGACUUUGGACAGUGACAUAGGAAGACAUUGGCCUGAGCCUAUGCAUGGACUCUCAUCCUACAAUCCAACCCCUCAACAGAUACAUCCCAGCUUCUGACUGUGAGCCAUUCAGCUACAAUGGGGAGGCCUAGAUGCUAGCCCCACAUGAGAGAGGGAAGGAUUUCAGGCCCAAGGCCCAAGUGGGGCAGGAAGAAGCACACGCUCACCUCAGUUGCCAUCUUUGCUGAGAGCCCCACAUGAGAGAGGGAAGGAUUUCAGGCCCAAGGCCCAAGUGGGGCAGGAAGAAGCACACGCUCACCUCAGUUGCCUUCUUUGCUGAGGGCGCACUGUCCAGCACGCCGGCAGACAGACCCAGAUCAGAAGGCCUGGACUUGGUACGUGAACGCCAGAAGGGCUGAGGUGCUGUUUCCCGAGGAGCUGUUCCAGGACUAGCGAGGAGCCUUUCCAAGCGUCACAGAAGGACGGGCCAGAGUUAACACGGCAUCGAGUUGUUUGUUGCAUAAUAAAG